rnacentral:rRNA from 1 species
GACGAACCGUGCGAACGUUGUUCGGAAUCACUGGGCUUAAAGGGCGCGUAGGCGGGCAAGCAAGUCCGGGGUGAAAUCUUUCGGCUCAACCGGAAAAGUGCCUUGGAUACUGCUUGUCUCGAGGGAGGUAGGGGUUGCUGGAACUUCCGGUGGAGCGGUGAAAUGCGUUGAUAUCGGAAGGAACGCCGGUGGCGAAAGCGAGCAACUGGAUCUCUCUGACGCUGAGGCGCGAAAGCUAGGGGGAGCAAACGGG